GAUGAUCUGGUCCAACGACUGACUCUUCAGGAACUCCAGGAACAGAUGGCGAUUGGUGCAGGUGCCGCGCCAGAUAUAAAACGAUUGGGGAUAGGUCAUUAUGAAUGGUGGUCUAAUUGUGCUCGAGGUAAUACUGGUAAUGAUGCUACAGCGUUCCCUGCAAGUAUUGGUCUAGCGGCUACUUGGGAUGAUAAUUUGAUGUUGAGGGUAGCCAGAGCUUCUGGUACUGAACUCCGAGCCGCCAACAACGACUGGGUGAAAAAGGGAGUUUAUGGAAUUCAUAAAGGUUUGAGUUGUUUUUCACCAACUCUAGAUAUAUUCAGAGAUCCUAGAUGGGGUAGAAAUCCAGAAACUUGGGGAGAAGAUCCAUAUUUUGCAUCUGUCUAUGCCCAUAAUUUUGUAAAUGGUAUUCAAGGCGAUGAUAAUAAAUAUCUCUUGGCUAAUGCCGGCUGUAAACAUUACCCGGCCGGAAGUGGUCCGGACAA